rnacentral:rRNA from 1 species
AUUGAACGCUGGCGGCAGGCCUAACACAUGCAAGUCGAGCGGAGCGGCGGACGGGUGAGUAAUGCCUAGGAGUCUGCCUGGUAGUGGGGGAUAACGUACGGAAACGGGAGCUGAUCCCGCAUCCUAGCAGAUGAGCCUAGGUCGGGUUAGCUAGGUGGUGGGGUAAAGGCCUACCAAGGCGACGAUCGGUAACUGGUAGGAGAGGAUGAUCAGUCACACUGGAAAGGAGACAAGGUCCAUAGGCCUAAGAGACGCAGCAGUGGGGAAUAGGGGACAAUGGGCGAGAGCCUGACCCAGCCAGGCCGCGGGUGUGAAGAAGGUCUCGGGAUUGUAAAGCACGUUAAGUUGGGAGGCGUUACCAACAGAAGAAGCACCGGAUAACUUCGUGCCAGCAGCCGCGGUAAUAC